UACAUAGGUCCCAAGCGUUGUUCGGAUUCACUGGGCGUAAAGGGCGCGCAGGUGGUCGGGUAAGUCUGACGUGAAAUCCCGCAGCUUAACUGCGGAAUGGCAUUGGAUACUAUUCGGCUAGAGGGUUGGAGGGGGGACUGGAAUUCUCGGUGUAGCAGUGAAAUGCGUAGAUAUCGAGAGGAACACCAGUGGCGAAGGCGAGUCCCUGGACAACUCCUGACGCUGAGGCACGAAAGCUAGGGGAGCAAACAGG
rnacentral:rRNA from 1 species